UUACUCACUUCCUCUGUGUGUGUGGCUCAUGAUCCUCAUCUGCAUCAUAUCUUCAAAGUUUGGUUUUGGUCUUUAUAGUCAUCAAGUUCAUGUGGUAUUUUUUAUAAGAAAUGAUGCUUUUUAUAUUGUCCUUCUAACCAAACUCAUUUUGCGUCAACUAGUUUUGUUUGAGAUUUGGAAUAUCGCAAGUACAGUAAAGUAACUAAACCCACUUCCUUAUUAUUAUUAAAAAGAAAGAAAAGAGUUAAUACAUUCAUUAAUACACAAAAUUUGUUGAAAGAUAUUAAAAAAAGUAGUACAAAUUUAUUAUUAUUAUUUCUCUACUUGUGCAAAGCAACAAAAAACUAGUAGUAAAAAUACAGAAGAAACAAUAAUUUCAUCGUUUCAAUACGUUGUAGUGUGAAGAUCUCUCUGUCUCUCUCAUGCAUAAUAAGUCUUCUCUUCUCUGCAAGGAUCUGAGGAAAAAUCUUUGUGACAAAUUAACCUGUAUAGGGUUAAUAUAUAAUAUAUAAAGCUAUUUCUUCUUCUUCUUCCUUCUACAUAUCAUCAUCGAUCUUCUUUAAAUAAUUUAUUAUAACAGAAAGUAAGAUAAGAUUAAGACAAAAGUGAUGAAACCGUAAGCGAAUCCGUUUCUUGCAUCGGAUCCGGACGUGAUAGGUUGCGGCGGAGGGUUGUAGUAGUAGAACGGGAAGUAGGGAACGAUAGGGUUCGGAGGAGGAGUGAAAGGGUAGUUUCCUCCGCUUUUAGGAGGUG
rnacentral:lncRNA from 1 species